rnacentral:lncRNA from 1 species
CCUCAACCCAUCAAAGAAGUAACUAUAAUGGAAGAGAAAGAAAGGGCUUAUACCCUAGAAGAAGAAGCUGUUUCAGUACAACGGGAAGAAGAAUAUGAGGAAUAUGAAGAAUAUGAUUAUAAAGAAUUUGAGGAGUAUGAACCAACAGAAGAAUAUGACCAAUAUGAAGAAUACGAGGAGCGGGAGUAUGAACGAUAUGAAGAGCAUGAAGAAUACAUCACAGAACCAGAGAAGCCUAUCCCUGUAAAGCCUGUCCCAGAAGAACCAGUUCCCACAAAACCAAAGGCCCCACCGGCUAAAGUUCCUGAAGUGCCCAAGAAACCUGUGCCAGAGGAGAAAGUACCAGUACCAGUUCCUAAAAAGGUGGAAGCUCCACCUGCCAAAGUGCCAGAGGUACCCAAGAAGCCUGUGCCUGAGAAGAAGGUGCCAGUUCCUGCUCCUAAGAAAGUGGAGGCUCCACCUGCAAAAGUGCCAGAGGUGCCCAAGAAGCUCAUCCCAGAAGAAAAGAAACCAACACCUGUUCCGAAAAAAGUGGAAGCACCACCACCCAAAGUGACUGAGGAGCCUGAAGAAGAGCCUAUUUCAGAAGAAGAAAUCCCAGAAGAACCACCUAGCAUAGAGGAAGUUGAAGAGGUGGCACCACCUAGAGUGCCUGAAGUGAUUAAGAAAGCAGUACCUGAAGCACCUACUCCUGUUCCUAAAAAAGUGGAGGCACCACCAGCUAAAGUACCGGAGGUGCCUAAGAAAAUUGUGGUAGAAGAAAAAGUACGUGUUCCUGAAGAGCCCAGAGUUCCACCAACUAAAGUGCCUGAAGUGCUGCCACCGAAGGAAGUGGUCCCAGAAAAGAAAGUACCGGUGCCUCCUGCCAAAAAGCCAGAAGCUCCACCUCCUAAAGUGCCUGAAGUGCUGCCACCGAAGGAAGUGGUCCCAGAAAAGAAAGUACCGGUGCCUCCUGCCAAAAAGCCAGAAGCUCCACCUCCUAAAGUGCCUGGAGGUGAAAAGAAAGUUCGCAAAUUACUUCCGGAACGUAAACCUGAACCAAAGGAAGAAGUUGUUCUGAAAAGCGUUCUAAGAAAAAGACCUGAAGAAGAAGAACCUAAAGUAGAACCU